rnacentral:lncRNA from 1 species
AGAAGGCCUUGCAGAGGAAGGAAGGAAGGAAAAUAAAGAGAUAAGGAGGAAGAGAGAAGGGCGAAGGAAAAGAAAGGAAGGUACUGGAGAACAGAAGGAGGGAAGGGAGUGCUGGGGGGUGCCAGGAAGGAAGAGAGGAAGUGGGACUGGGGAAGGCAGGAAGUGGAAGGGAGGAGGGCAGGAAGUGGGAGAAAGGAAGGCAGGAAGUGGAAGGGAGGAAGGCAGGAAGUGGAAGGGAGGAAGGCAGGAAGCACUGGGGUACCAUCAGUUGUACAACAGCGGACAAAAUAUAUGACCAAACUCUGUUUUCCAAGUUGGGACACUGACAUCUAGGGAAGGAUGGGACCAGAUGAGGUACAAGGAGCUGGUUUCA